AACGAACGCUGGCGGCAUGCCUAACACAUGCAAGUCGAACGAAGUCUUCGGACUUAGUGGCGCACGGGUGCGUAACGCGUGGGAAUCUGCCCUUAGGUACGGAAUAACUCAGGGAAACUUGUGCUAAUACCGUAUGAUGUCUUCGGACCAAAGAUUUAUCGCCUAGGGAUGAGCCCGCGUAGGAUUAGCUAGUUGGUGAGGUAAAGGCUCACCAAGGCGACCAUCCUUAGCUGGUCUGAGAGGAUGAUCAGCCACACUGGGACUGAGACACGGCCCAGACUCCUACGGGAGGCAGCAGUGGGGAAUAUUGGACAAUGGGCGAAAGCUUGAUCCAGCAAUGCCGCGUGAGUGAUGAAGGCCUUAGGGUUGUAAAGCUCUUUUACCCGGGAAGAUAAUGACUGUACCGGGAGAAUAAGCCCCGGCUAACUCCGUGCCAGCCGCCGCCGUAA
rnacentral:rRNA from 1 species